UACGUAGGGGGCAAGCGUUGUCCGGAAUCAUUGGGCGUAAAGCGCGUGUAGGCGGUCCGGUAAGUCCGCUGUGAAAGUCGGGGGCUCAACCCUCGGAUGCCGGUGGAUACUGUCGGGCUUGAGUACGGAAGAGGCGAGUGGAAUUCCUGGUGUAGCGGUGAAAUGCGCAGAUAUCAGGAGGAACACCAAUUGCGAAGGCAGCUCGCUGGGACGUUACUGACGCUGAGACGCGAAAGCGUGGGGAGCGAACCGG
rnacentral:rRNA from 1 species